UACGUAGGUGGCAAGCGUUGUCCGGAAUUAUUGGGCGUAAAGAGCAUGUAGGCGGAGAUUUAAGUCUGUUGUGAAAAUGCGGGGCUCAACCCCGUAUUGCGAUGGAAACUGAAUUUCUUGAGUGCAGGAGAGGAAAGGGGAAUUCCCAGUGUAGCGGUGAAAUGCGUAGAUAUUGGGAGGAACACCAGUGGCGAAGGCGCCUUUCUGGACUGUGUCUGACGCUGAGAUGCGAAAGCCAGGGUAGCGAACG
rnacentral:rRNA from 1 species